rnacentral:rRNA from 1 species
GACGAACGCUGGCGGCGUGCCUAAUACAUGCAAGUAGAACGCUGAAGGAGGAGCUUGCUUCUCUGGAUGAGUUGCGAACGGGUGAGUAACGCGUAGGUAACCUGCCUGGUAGUGGGGGAUAACUAUUGGAAACGAUAGCUAAUACCGCAUAAUAGCAGUUGUUGCAUGAUAACUGUUUGAAAGGUGCAAUUGCACCGCUACCAGAUGGACCUGCGUUGUAUUAGCUAGUUGGUGGGGUAACGGCUCACCAAGGCGACGAUACAUAGCCGACCUGAGAGGGUGAUCGGCCACACUGGGACUGGGACACGGCCCAGACUCCUACGGGAGGCAGCAGUAGGGAAUCUUCGGCAAUGGACGGAAGUCUGACCGAGCAACGCCGCGUGAGUGAAGAAGGUUUUCGGAUCGUAAAGCUCUGUUGUAAGAGAAGAACGAGUGUGAGGGUGGAAAGUUCACACUGUGACGGUAUCUUAACAGAAAGGGACGGCUAACUACGUG